rnacentral:lncRNA from 1 species
CUCUCAAAAUCUCUUUCGCUUGUCCUUCAUUGUUUUGAUUUUCCGGUCACUUUGCCAUCGUCGCAUUUAGUUUGUGGGUUGAUUCCUUUGAUUUACUCUCCCAAUUGUUUUUUAUCAAGAAAAGAUGUCUUUAUCCAUUAUCAAACCAAUUUGGAAGAGGGUUAUGUUAGUAUUCUCAUAAAGCCACAUAAGCAAAUGGUGACGAUGACAGAGGAGAGAAUGCCUUCGACGCCAGUAGAGAAAUUCGUCGCUGGAGCUAUCUGCG